GGCGCUCAUUUCCUCCUUGGGCGCCAUUUUGUAGCGCAGAGAAUCUGCAAAUAAAGAGCGGGCGGGAGUAGCGCGCCGGGAAGUCUUGGUAGUGGGAACGCCGCGGCGGUGGCCGUCCCGGCUUCGGAGCGGCGGUUCUCGCAGAGCUGGUCGCGGAGGUUGGUGGCAAGUGUGAGUGGUGGCGGCGUUUCGCCCUCGAUGUGACGGGAGCGGCCCAGGCGGCUAGUGUGCUGGGAGAGCGAGGCCUCCGCACCGCGGGCGGGAGAGUUCACAAUGACGAAUGAAGAACCUCUCCCAAAGAAGGUUCGCCUAAGUGAAGCAGAUUUUAAGGUUUUACCUAGAGAUGAACUCAUCCUAAGGUGGAAACAGUAUGAAGCAUAUGUGCAAGCUCUGGAGAGCAAGUACACAGACCUUAAUUCUAAUGAUGUGACGGGAUUGAGAGAAUCUGAAGAGAAGCUGAAACAGCAGCAGCAAGAAUCUGCCCGAAGAGAAAAUAUUCUGGUGAUGAGGCUGGCAACUAAAGAGCAGGAGAUGCAAGAGUGUACUAAUCAGAUUCAGUACCUCAAGCAAGUCCAGCAGCCUAGUGUUGCCCAGCUGCGAUCAACAAUGGUGGACCCAGCCAUCAACUUGUUUUUCCUAAAAAUGAAAGGUGAACUGGAACAGACUAAAGACAAACUGGAACAAGCCCAAAAUGAACUGAGUGCCUGGAAAUUUACGCCUGAUAGGUAAACAAAACAAAUACUCCCCAGUCAAGACUUCCCUGACAGUCCCACUACGAGAAUGCUAUGGUGGGACAACCAAGUACUCGUUUCCACACCAAGACUCAGACGUUUUGAGGCAAAAGCCAGAUUCUUAUACUGUCCAGCUUGUAAUGCUUAAUGUAAAACUUACCAGAUGAACCUUGUGUUUCAGCUUUUUUCUCCCCCUUUGCUUCAGAGGCCUGACGGCGUCGGACUAUUCUGAAGAAAUGGCCAUCUUCGAAAAAAAUCUUUUCUAGAACAUGUAGACAUUUGCGAAAUUGUUCUAUUUGAAGAAAAUAGAGGGAGAAACAGAAGUCUUAAGUCUGUGGCACACUGUGUCUACAGACAGUUUGGAGGAGAGAGAACCUAGAGAUUAUAAAUCAUGAAUUGAACAUGUAAAAUUCCCGUAAAAUGUAGAAGUGGAAUAUGCUUCGCUCUUAACCUUGAGCCUAGUGACUUAGAGACACUGUAAGUCAGUUUUGCCAAUAAGACUGUGGACUUCCUGCUUGUUCACUGAACUGCUGGGUCAGAACUCGAUGAGGCAUUAACAUGAAGAAAUUAAUGGGAUUCUAAAAUUGUCCCAGUUCCAAGGUAACUGGUACUUGCUAAUUCUGCAGUUGAUGUUGUUUUGUGAAGAGAAAAGCGUUAAAUGACUUAAGCACUGUGAACUUCUUCAACUUGUACAGUAACAGGAAUUUGCAAAUGGCUAAAAAUCAUGGCAUGUCUGCCUAACAACUUUUGGGGUAUGUUACAUUUGGUUAUCUCCAAAGUGGUCCUGCUAUACACAGAAUGAACAUCUCUAAGGAAACUUGCAUCUUAAAUGUGUGACUUGGACUGUAUUAGGUCAGCACAAUUUAAACUUCAAGGACCUGGCAUUGGACAUCACAUCAAGAAAGAAAACAGGUUGCUGCCUUUAGCAGAUUUUCAGGCUUCCAGGACUUUACACAGCCAGAUUCCUUCUGGAGCAACCCAUCUGAAAGAUUUGGGAAAGUCAGUCGGAAACGUUAAAUGGGGCAGAGUUGGCAGAACUUAAAAGUUGUCUAAGGCUUGAAUGCUUAAAAGGUAGUUAAGGAAAUUACUAUUUUAAAUUCUUUUGGUUGGGUAUUUUGGUUGCAGGAGAGAAACAUGGCUGUGCAUUGUAGCGGAAAUUUCCUGUUUACUUUUUUAACCCUCAGGUUCUUUUGAUCUUUGUCACUUGUUUAAAAGCAAACACACAAAAUGAAAUGACCUUCUUGGUCUUAAAAAGUAAUGCAAGUUCUGCCACUGAAUUCACAAUAAACUUGUUCAAGUUUGGGUUGUUCUUUAAUUUUUUGUUUGGCAGAACUUCUGUAGAAAAGGACAGCUUUAUUAUGUUGCUGAGCCUGUCAAAAGAACUGUUUGUGGUUGCUAUCCUGACUCUGGCAGAUGAAGAGUCCUAAAAGACUUUAAUUUUUCUCUUUCAUGGAGUCAGCUGUAUUGCCUAUAUAUUAAUUUGCAUACUACUUCCUAUAAUGCUUUACAGUGCAGUUUUUAUAAUGAAGAUUAAAGAUGUGUGAUGUUAUUCAUUUACUAAA